rnacentral:lncRNA from 1 species
UUUUUAAAAGCCUUUUGAAAGAUAAUCUCAUGGGACUGCAAAAUGAUACAUGGUGUUCCAAAACCACUAACUGUAAAAGAAGAUUUGACUCUGAAUAAUGCAGUCACCACUCUGACAGCAAGAUGAAGAAUGAAAAGUUAAACGUCUAACUUGCUAAAAUAGCAGCAGAGAGUUGACGGUCUGGUGAGGUGAGACCAGGUGACAUCAGCUGGCUUCUGGAGAAACAAGGAAAGAAAACUUCUAAAACACAAAUACAAAGGUAACCGGGGGCAGGAGGAAGGGGAAUAAAGAGCCAUGCCUGAGAAAUCCCUGAUAAAAA